UACGGAGGGAGCUAGCGUUGUUCGGAAUUACUGGGCGUAAAGCGCGCGUAGGCGGCUUUGUGAGUUAGAGGUGAAAGCCCGGAGCUCAACUCCGGAACUGCCUUUAAAACUGCAUCGCUUGAAUCCAGGAGAGGUGAGUGGAAUUCCGAGUGUAGAGGUGAAAUUCGUAGAUAUUCGGAAGAACACCAGUGGCGAAGGCGGCUCACUGGACUGGUAUUGACGCUGAGGUACGAAAGCGUGGGGAGCAAACAGG
rnacentral:rRNA from 1 species